CAGCGACAUAAUAAUUACUCCUUCUUCAAGAUUGUCAGUUAGCUCACUGAUAGAUAGUAGAUUUAUUAGAAUUUUUAACCCCUGAUGCUAGUGGAAUGUCUGGCAUUCCUGAAGGAUGUGCUAUUGAUCAUUCGCAAUUCAGUUCACCGAGAGUGCAAGAUUUCUCAAGAGGGAUUAAUUUUGAGAAACAUUCCCUUGACAGCGACAUAAUAAUUACUCCUUCUUCAAGAUUGUCA